GCAGAGACAUAGGCAGAGGGAGAAACAGGCUCCCUGCAGGGAACCUAAUGCGGGACUCUAUCCUAGAACCCCAGGAUUAUAACCUGAGCCAAAGGCAGAUGCUCAACCACUGAGCCACCCAGGUGCCCUCUCUUUACAAUUCUUAGUCAAGCCUAAAGUGAACAUCUCCCCUUUGAAGAAUGGACCUCUAUAGCACCUGAGCCUUCUUGUCUACCAUGUGACAGAUUUCUAUCCAGGCUACAUUCAACCCCACUGGUUCCUGAAUGGACAGCAGGAAAACAGCUAGAGUUAUGUCCACCAACCUGAUCCUAAUAAAGACUGGAUCUUCCAGAUCCUGGUGAUACUGGCAAUGACCCUUCACCAGAGAGAUGGCUACACUUGCCAAGUAGAGCACCCCAGCCUGGAUGGUCCUGUCACUGUGGAGUGGAGUGAGUUACUCUCUGAGUUAGGCCCUAAAUUCUGAAAAACAGGGAAUAUUCUAGUUCUGGGAUCUACUCAUUUUGUCACAGGUCUAUACGUGGGGGCCAUACCUAUCUCCAUCUUUUUCCUAGAGAAGUCCCUGAGAAUAGUUUAGAGCUGGGGCAGCAGAGACUUGCCCACCCUGUCCUAGGAAAUACUAAUGAUUCAUAGAUCUCUGCCCAUGUCAGAAAACCUAGGAAACUCAAACACCUUCCUGAAUUAUCCUCACAUGUGAGAACUGUUAAAUGCCUUCAGCCUUUUAGCUUAUGUGAGUUAUUUUGAGAGGCAGCUACCAGAAUCGGCAUGUGUGUGUCCUUUUGGAAGUCACAGCCUAAUUUUCAGAACUUGGGGGUUCUUUCUAAAUUUCCUCCUCCUUCAAGUUUUAUAUCUCUCACAGACCUCAUAUUGGUAUUCUAUAUUAAGCCCCAGAAUCUCAGACAGUACGUGAGGGGUGGUGCAGCAGGUAGAGGUGAAAAUGACCCCUGGUCUGUGUUUCCCUGAGAUACACAGAUUCUGCUCAGAGAAAUACUGGCUAGACUCUCAGGCUUUGUGCUGGGGCUCAUCUUCCUUGUAGUGAGCAUCUGAGUGCAUACUAGGAGCAAGAGAGGUAAGAAAACCUGAGAGAUGGCUGAGGUUUGCUUUCCCCUGACUUACUCAACCAUCUUCAAUUAAAAAACUGAUACAGAAAAACAAUACCAGAGAAUCCUGGAGUUCACUGAAAUCAGAUUGUUGGGAAGCAAAAAUGGCUUGUAGGAAGAGAGAAAUCCCAGGCCAGAAUUUUAUCCCAACCAGAUGUAUGGAGUCUCCAAAUACUCUGGUCAUGUCUGAGUUCAUUUAGUAAUGAAUUAGUCUUCAGCCAGCCCCUGCCUUACUUCCCAGUGAUUGGACCAUGGCAAUGGAGAUGAGAUGGGAAAGUUUAUCUAAUUGUCUAAGAUUCUGUUAUUAGGUGAAUACAUUCCCUUUUCUCCUUUCAUUAUUCUGUGAUGAGGAUCUUGAAAACCAGGUAAUACUCCUGCUUCUUUUUCUUGGGAGUGGGUUGCAGAAAGUCCUUUCAUUGCAUCCUGACUCUGAGACGCCUACUGGGAAGAAGCAUACAAGUGUGGAAAUGAGCAUUACUUUGCUCCAUUGAUGAAGGAAGCCCAGAGAAACUCUUAUUUUUCAUCAGGCUAAGACUCAAUCUCUCACGAAAUUUCUCUUUCCUGAGAUUUAGAGUAAGAAAUGUCAACAACCUGAGACAACUUUUCCUUUUACCUCCGCUAGGGUUCCUGAUCUGACCCAAAGACCUGCAUGUGACCUGGAACAAGCAUUUUUCUAUCUUUCCUCAGUCCCAGAGGCUGGUUCCGGAAAAGACUUCAGCCUCCCAAGAACAUGUUACUGCCAAGUAAUUGCUCUGAAACUAGUUUCUAUAGUUGUUCUCUUUGAUUCCAUGCACACUUUCUCUCGGGGCUUCUAUCCAAGUUCCUUUAGGGUAGUUCCAUGAGUAAUAAAAAGCCAAUGUUAAAGCAUAUUCUCUUAAGAAUAUGCACCAAGUCAUCUCUGCCACUGCCUUUGUGUGAGGAUUUUGGCAAACAGUAGGAGUUCAUGAAGAAGUUCAUUGUUGUGUAUACACAGGCAAGAAGGAAAAUGUGAAAAGGGGAUAUUCUAACUAUUGGGAAGGGUGACAAAUUGGACAUGGACCUCCUCUGAAUUCAUACUCUAUCUUUGGGCUGCCCCAUAUUUGUAUUUGAUACUUUCAUUCCUGGAGGCCUGGGACCAUUCUUAGUUAUUCAAGGAUGAGCAGAUGGUGAAUACAGCACUGACUCAACAUACAUGAAGACUGUUUUACCAUUACCAUUAAGAAAUCAAAUUAAGGGGUGCCUGGGUGGCUGAGUUGGUUGAGCAUCUGACUCUUGAUUUCCUCUCAGGUCAUGCUCUGAGGGUCCCAGAAUGAAGCCCCGUAUCAGGUUCUACACUCAGCAGGGGGCAGGGAGGUUUGGCUUCUCUGCGUCUCUCUAUCUCUCUCUCCUGCCCCUCCCCCCUCUAAAAUAAAUAAAUAAAUCUUUUUAAAAAAUCAAAUUAAGAUCAGAAUUUAAAAUUGGAAAUAUAAUGUAAUAAACCUAAACCCUUUUCUUUGAUACCAUGAUAGUCUUUGACCAAACAAGGCUUAGCCUUUUUUUUUUUUAAUAUUUUAUUUAUUUAUUCAUGAAAGACAGGCAGAGACAUAGGCAGAGGGAGAAGCAGUCUCCCUGCAGGAAGCCUGAUGUGGGACUCGAUUCCAGGAUCCCAGGAAUGGCUCACAACCUGAGCCACCCAGGCAGAUGCUCAACCACUGAGCCACCCAGGCGCUCACAGGCUUAGCCUUUUUAAUGCAACAAUUUAUAGAAGAUGCGUCAUCAGACCACCAGGCUUCCUGUCGUAGUAAUUCACAUAGUGUUAAAAUGCUCAAAGAAAUAGAUGCAGUUCUCUUUUUUAAACAUACGUCUGCUUUUACAAUCCAAAAUGAUUACAGGUUUUCUGUUUUACGUGAAAUUAUCCUGAAAGCCGAGCUAGAUUCUAAGUAGUUCUUUUUGCAUAAAGCAUGGAGUAUGACCUCCUGAGGCACAUACUGGGGACUCAGAAGAUCUCUGACAUACCCAGGUGAUGCCUCCUCUCUCCCUGCCUCCUCACAAGCAGCUCUUGCCUCUUGUUUGCCCCUGGGCCCCCCUGCUCCAUCAGUUCCCACUGCUUGCUCCUCUCACACUGCUCCCCUCCCAUCAUGCCCUGCAUGGGACCAGCUUCCCCCAUUUCCAAGAGAGGUUGAGGCUGAAGAUGCAGAAGUGGGUGUUACUGACACAGGAGUUAGCAUAGUUGGGGUCUGUAGAAAGGUUGGGGUGAUUAAGUGUGGGAGCCCAGGAAGAAAGGCCCUGAGCAUGGCAAACCAACCAUAACUCCCAUAACUCAUUAUGUAUGUGCAUUGCUUUGUUUAAUUCUAAUUACUCAGGGAUAAGGACAUGGUUUUUUCUUUACUUAUCUGUUCCAGGUGCAUCUGCAGUGGCCACUGUGAGCCAGACAGUGAGGAGAAAAUGAGGCAGAGCAGGGCAGGGAGGAGCUCUGAAUCCAGGAUUCAUUUCCCUAUCUGGUGAAGGGAGAAGAGGUGGAAGUGAAACCGCUCAACAGGGCUCACCCAACCAGAAAACAUCAGAAGGGGCAUCUCAGUGUCUGGGAAACAAGCUAGAACCAACAUAGCUGAGAAAGCCCCAACCUAUAUGGGGUUCAGGGGUAAGAGGAAGAAAAUAAAAAUGGAGACAUGAUAAUCACCUUCCUUUCAAUGGAGUUGAUAGGAAAUACAUCUUUGAAAUUGAUCAAAUUAAAAAGAUUUUUAAUUUGUAAGUAACUUGUGAAUGGAUAAUUUUCUUCAUGAUUUCAUGUUGAUUUUUUGUAUCAAUAUAAUAAUCCACUUGAUUGUUAUUAAAUAAUGUUAUAUUUUACCCUUUUGUUCUUUUGAUAAUUUUGGAGGAAUCUGAUGUUUCCAGACAUAUAAUCAGAAUGCAAAAAAUAUUAUUUCACUUCUAAAUAUUAUUCCUUUUUAUUUCUUUUUUUCUGCUUUAAUCUUUUUUUAAAGAUUUUAUUUAUUUAUUUCUGAGAAUACACAGAGAGGAGAGAGAGAAGCAGAGACACAGGCAGAGGGAGAAGCAGGCGCCAUGCAAGGAGCCUGACAUGAGACUCAAUCCCGGGUGUCCAGAAUCAGGCCCUGGGCCGAAGGCGGCGCUAAACCACUUGAGUCACCCGGGCUGCCCUUUUUUUCUGUUUUAUUUCUUCUUGAAAUUUUUAUCUUCUUUAUACGAGAUGUCUCUAAUAUUUUACUACUUAGUAUAAAAUUAAUUCUUUGCUUUAUAAAUUUUUAAAAAAUAAAUAUGUCUUUUUUAUAAAUUUGUGUAGAACUGUAGUAAAAGCCCCUGAUACUUCUUAACAAAAUGAUAGAACUUAAUUGUUAAAAUUAAUUGUAUGUUGUAUUUAUUCAACUGUUUUUGUUUUGAAUUAAACUUGCAAUAUAAUAAUGAA
rnacentral:lncRNA from 1 species